rnacentral:lncRNA from 1 species
UAUACAUUUUUAACUUCGUAGGUGGCGACUGGCGAUCCACUGGCGGUAUUGUUCUUGCUGACGUAGAUGAGUGAAAACAUCAAGAAGAAGCCACUCCUAGCGCGAUUUGCUGUCGGACGCGGGGGUGAACCAUCGCCCCCGCGUCCCGUGAACAAUGCUGCACUGUAUCUACUUCAGUUUAGAGAUGCCUCACGCGAUGUUUUCUCCGCCUCAUGCCGCCCUGGCCGCCGGCGUAGCGUCCGCCACGCCGCUCGGUCGCACCGGCAUCGUCAGCUGCCGCUGGCUCCGCUCCCAGCGAGCGGCGCACAGAGGGCCCGCUUCAUUUAUACUUAGAUAUUAACACUUUUUCCUGAACAUGAUAAAAUUAGUUAUACCUAACAUAAUGCACCUACAUCACAUUAUGUUAAAUACUUGUUAUCCUUAAUAAUAUAGUUUAAUUACCAAUUCACUUCAUUAAAAACUUUUUUAAAACGUACACGUAAACCCGAACAUGAUGCAUAAUAUUAAGUUUAGUAAAAUAGUUUUUAAUUUUUUAAUUUUUAUAUUUAGGAACAAAGUAACUUUUGUUGUUUAGUUAUACGUAUAACUGUACUACACGCUGUUACUGACAAUUACACUUUGAUAUUGCUGUUACUUAUUCAUUUGGUGAAUGAUUGUUUGCGAUAAUAAAUUGCGAUAACUUCUUCAUUCAUAACUCUUCAAUCACAUCCAUGGUUAAAAUGAUAUUGUUGGUUCAUUUUGAUGCUACGAAACACAUUGAAUGUUUCGAUCGAGAUAGUAGCGUAGAAUAAGUUUUUGUUUUUGUGUUACAGAUUGCACACUUUUGCUUAUAUUUUUGUUUUUUUUUUUUAUAGUUCUACAAGUUUUUUUUUGCCCAGCUACUGGUAUAUUAUGUUAGUUGUUAGUUUCUACUAGUUUUAAUUUUACUUUUUGUUUUUUUGUAGGACGUUCGCAUCUUUGAAUAGCAACGGAAUACUUUUUUUGUGUGACAAAUUUUAUUAAGUUAAUUUUUGUUAUACUUAUUAUAGAUCGUAAGUGCCUUUCGCAAUUAGCUUAUACCCAAACAGCUAAUUGUUCACUCAUUUUUUUUCAAGCCGCUAAUAAACUUUUCAUAUAUUAA